rnacentral:rRNA from 1 species
AACGAACGCUGGCGGCAGGCUUAACACAUGCAAGUCGAGCGAAGACUUCGGUCUUAGCGGCGGACGGGUGAGUAACGCGUGGGAACGUGCCCUUCUCUACGGAACAGUCCUGGGAAACUGGGUUUAAUACCGUAUACGCCCUUUUGGGGAAAGAUUUAUCGGAGAAGGAUCGGCCCGCGUUGGAUUAGGUAGUUGGUGGGGUAAUGGCCUACCAAGCCUACGAUCCAUAGCUGGUUUGAGAGGAUGAUCAGCCACACUGGGACUGAGACACGGCCCAGACUCCUACGGGAGGCAGCAGUGGGGAAUCUUAGACAAUGGGGGCAACCCUGAUCUAGCCAUGCCGCGUGAGUGAUGAAGGCCUUAGGGUUGUAAAGCUCUUUCGUCGAGUGCGCGAUCAUGACAGGACUCGAGGAAGAAGCCCCGGCUAACUCCGUGCCAGCCGCCGC